GCACUUUUCUGGGCUCUCAGAGUCACCUAGCGAGGCCAGGAGGCUCCCAAGUGCGUGGGUUCCUGGCUUCCGGUGUAGCUCUGGUUCAUUCUGUCCCCAGGAUGGCUCAGCUGUGACCACAACCCUGCUCCCUUAUCAUACCAGCAAAAGUCCCAUCGACCCGGAGCAGAGUGGCCAGGGCGGCGGAGGGCAUCGCCCGAGCCUCUGCACCCCUGAACUUGGCGGCGCAGAGCGCACGAGCCUCAUUCACAGAUAGGAAGAGCGAGGCCCGGCCGCUGCAGAAUAUGGUCAGCAGUUACUGGGCAGGCGCCACACUGGUCCCCGGAGCAGGGGCCGCAUCUACCAGAGGAGAGAAACAUGUCCCCACCUGGGUCUGCUAUCUGCUCCAUGGAGAAAAGAGGACAUGAAGCAACAGCUUAGGAAGAUUUACUCUCAGGGGACUCUAUUCAAAGUCUCUCUAACUGGGCCAGCUGGACAUCUGGAAAAGUCAUCUCCUGCCUGUCAGAGUUAGGCCAUUUCCGGGAGAACAUCAAGUCCUAGCUUGGAAAUCAAAGGCAGGACGGGUGAGAACCAGAGCCCUGGACUGGGCAGGUCAAGGGCUGGUCAGAAAACCAUGGGUUCAAGAGGGCUUGCCACUGGAUAAUCUCCCCCACAUACCCAGCACCCCACUUCUCCAAUCCUUCCCCUUCUCAUGCUCCCCCAACCCCAGGAGGGGCUCUCUUUAAGUGUCUGCAAGCCCCUUUGUGCAAAGUCCCCCCCAACCUCUUGGAGAAUGGCUUGUCUUCUUCCUCCUGCUCAGCAAGUAGCCCGGGUCAGAGAGAAGGAGGGUUCACUAGUCAAGAUGUCAACUCUCUCAGUGAACUGAGUAACACAAUGAACAUUUCUGACAUUUUGUAUGCCUCUGUAGCUCUGGUCUUAAAGACUUCAGCUCCACUUGAAGAUCCUAGUAGUGCACGUCAGAUCAACUCUCCCACAGUGGCCAGUGACCCAGUGAGUCAGCCCACCCCGUCCAAGCCUUCCUUGCCUUGCCAACUUCUCGAUAUGAGCAGAACCCAGAUGUGGUUUGGGGUCACCUUACAGGGAUCUCACUCCCCACACAUAUCCCUGUGCCACAGGCUAAGCCACCAUACCUUGGCCUCCCUAGCUAAGCCCUGCUGUGUUCCUUGAUUCAUCCGCUCACUCACAAGUCCUUACUGAGCGACUGCCAAGCUGUGUGUUGGGUGUGAGGACACACUCAGAAGCCCAGCGUAGGUACAGAGAGGAUUUGAAACUGGAGGUGCUAAAUGCUCUCCAGAGGCCAGAAGCUUCCCUCACUGGCAGGGGGCAGGCACUCUGAGAGCAGGAAGGUGCCAGAAAUUCCCUCAGUGGCAGGUUUGACCCCUGGAGAGAUGGAGAGUGAGCCUUCCAUAAAGCCCCUUGCCUGGUGCGGCUUAUAGCCCAAAGGAGACAGACCAUUGACCCUACCUUCCUGGACAAACAGCACACUCUUCCUUAGGCUUCUGUUUUCCUCCCAAUGAAGUCUAUUUGCUCUUCCCAUAGGAGCCCUCCUCCCCCAUGCCUGAAAACCGCCCAGACAGGCCCCUGCUUCUAACGUCACUCAUGUAAGGAGUUACUCAUGUAAAAAAAAUAAACUAUUCUGGGGAGUCGGGCUGUAGCACAGCGGGUUAAGCGCAGGUGGCGCAAAGCACAAGGACCGGCAUAAGGAUCCCGGUUCGAACCCCGGCUCCCCACCUGCAGGGGAGUCGCUUCACAGGCAGCGAAGCAGGUCUGCAGGUGUCUAUCUUUCUCUCCUCCUCUCUGUCUUCCCCUCCUCUCUCCAUUUCUCUCUGUCCUAUCCAACAACAACAACAAUAAUAACUACAACAAUAAAAAACAAGGGCAACAAAAGGGAAUAAAUAAAUAU